AAACACAGCACUGACCCGGAGCAGCAGAAGCCGAUCACCCACAGCUACGAUGCCAAUGGGCUUCACGGGGCGAUGAUACCGCGCAAGAUGUGGUCAUACAGGAUUAGCCAGCUCUCCGCACAUGGAACCAUCACUCAUGGGUGAGGACAGCUGAGAGUAACGGCAGAUUCAACUGAAAAUGAUUUAACAACUCUAGAGCUCUCUUUUUCUCUUUAAGUGUACAGUGUGUGGCCUUAUGGCUGCCGUUGUUUAAAGAGGCGAAACAGGCUUAGCUUUAUGAUCCAUGUGUAUCUGCCUAAUUUAUCCAAAGAAUUAGAGCAUAUCCCCUUCACAUGUGCAAAUAAUCAGUUGGCACUCAGUUUGUUAUUAUCACAGUAAUCUCUUGUCUGUUUAAUAUCAAAUGCAAUGCUUCUGGAAUCAGCUGAAAUAACACUGCCCGUGUUUCAAGCAAUUAACCUUUUCCACUGUAGGAACGCCUCAGGGGGGGACAGAGGAACUGGAGUGGGGAUGAAUGUCUGCCAUCCACACGAGGAGAGGACAUGG